CUGCUCGCUUUGGCAGCACAUAUACUAAAAUUGGAACCUUACCACGAUUAGCACAGCCCCUGCACAGGGAUGACGUGGAAAUUUGUGCAGCAUUCCUUAUUUGU